GGGCGUUUAGCUCAGCGGGAGAGCAUUGCCUUCACACGGCAAGGGUCACUGGUUCAAUCCCAGUAACGCCCACCA
rnacentral:tRNA from 2 species